CUCAUCAUCACUCAUGAGUUUUUUAAAUCGUAUAUUCCGAGUUAAACAUGCGCGAAAUAGUGUUCGAAGAUUUUCGCGAGAAAAUGUGAGACCAAACUUGGCGAAUUUCAAAAUACGGUAACAGUCUAUAGUUACAGGUUUUGUAAUUUGUGGCCAAUAUAUAGUUAAGUAAUCAAAGAAUUGGCACAAUAUAGUAUGAAGUUU